rnacentral:rRNA from 1 species
AGCGAACGCUGGCGGCAGGCUUAACACAUGCAAGUCGAGCGGGCAUCCUUGUGGUGUCCGCGGCAGACGGGAGAGUAACGCGUGGGAACGAGGCCUUCGGCUCGGAAUAACUCAGGGAAAAUUGAGCUAAUACCGGAUACGUGCGAGAGCAGAAAGGUUUAUCUGCCGAAGGAUCGGCCCGCGUCUGAUUAGCUAGUUGGUGAGGUUAUGGCUCACCAAGGCGACGAUCAGUAGCUGGUCUGAGAGGAUGAUCAGCCACACUGGGACUGAGACACGGCCCAGACUCCUACGGGAGGCAGCAGUGGAGAAUAUUGGGCAAUGGGGGCAACCCUGAUCCAGCCAUGCCGCGUGAGUGAUGACGGCCUUAGGGUUGUAAAUCUCUUUUCUCCGGGACGAUAAUGACGGUACCGGAGGAAUAAGCCCCGGCUAACUUCGUG